GGGGAAUAUUGGACAAUGGGCGCAAGCCUGAUCCAGCCAUGCCGCGUGGGUGAAGAAGGCCUUCGGGUUGUAAAGCCCUUUUGUUGGGAAAGAAAAGCAGCCGGCCAAUACCCGGUUGUUCUGACGGUACCCAAAGAAUAAGCACCGGCUAACUUCGUGCCAGCAGCCGCGGUAAUACGAAGGGUGCAAGCGUUACUCGGAAUUACUGGGCGUAAAGCGUGCGUAGGUGGUGGUUUAAGUCCGUUGUGAAAGCCCUGGGCUCAACCUGGGAACUGCAGUUGGAUAUGGAAUCCCUAGAUGUUGGCGAGGGUAGUUGGAUUUCCCGUGUUGGAAUGAAAUGGGUAAGGAACCGGAAGGACAACAAGUGCGGAGGGGGAUGGCUUGGGCAACAAUGGACCUUAAGCAAGGAAACCGUGGGAACCAACA
rnacentral:rRNA from 1 species